UACAGAGGGGGCAAGCGUUGUUCGGAAUUACUGGGCGUAAAGGGCGCGUAGGCGGCCCGCUAAGUCGAACGUGAAAUCCCCAGGCUCAACCUGGGAACUGCGUCCGAUACUGGCAGGCUUGAAUCCGGGAGAGGGAUGUGGAAUUCCAGGUGUAGCGGUGAAAUGCGUAGAUAUCUGGAGGAACACCGAUGGCGAAGGCAGGUCUCUGGGCCAUAACUGACGCUGAGAAGCGAAAGCAUGGGGAGCGAACAGG
rnacentral:rRNA from 1 species